GUGCUCACUUUGGGAGCAUAUAUUCUAAAGUUGGAAUGAUACACAGAUUAGUAUUGCCCCUGAGCAAGGGUGACAUGAAUAUGUCUGUCUGUCUGUCUAUAUGA